rnacentral:tRNA from 1 species
GGGGAUUUAGCUCAGUGGUAGAGCGCUUGUCUCGCAAGCUCAAGGCCCUGGGUUCGGUCCCCAGCUCCG